UUUCUUUCUUUCUUUCUUUCUUUCUUUCUCUUUCUGUCUUUCUGUCUUUCUGUCUUUCUUUCUGUCUUUCUGUCUUUCUGUCUUUCUUUCUCUGUCUUUCUGUCUGUCUUUCUGUCUUUGUCUGUCUUUUUAGGGUUGCAUCCAUGGCAUAUGAAGUUCCCAGCCUAGGGGUCGAAUCAGAGCUAUAGCUGCCGGCCUACACCACAGCCCAGCAACACAGGAUCUGAGCCCCAUCUGCAACCUACACCACAGCUCAUAGCAACACUGGAUCCUUAACCCACUGCGUGAGGCCUGGGAUUGAAUCUGCAUCUUCAUGGACACUAGUCAGGUUUGCUACCGCUGAACCGCAAUGGGAACUCCUUAUCCAGUUUUUCUAAUUUUGCUUCUAGAUUGAUAGGUGUUGCAUCUAACGUUGUGACCAUUCAAGUGUUUAAUGAUAACCAUCAUUUCCCCAUUAUCUGACAUUAACUUCAUGUGACUGACUAAUUUUUACUACCUUAAAUAAAGGAAAGACAUCUAUUUUCACCCCACCUGAUGGAAUCAAAAGCCUCUAAUACUAUUAGAUGGCUAGGCAUUGGCUGAUAUUUAAUAGUGUCUGGAGAUUGAGGUUACACACUCCAUUGGAGAAUUUCUAGAUCAAAUUGUUCACUGAUUAUAGAGUCUGGGUUCUGUAAUUAACACCCUUAACACUGAGUUAUUAAUUAUAUUUCCACUAUAGCAUUGGACUAACAAAUCCAGCAUUUCAACUGACUUUGAAUAUUUAACUCAGAUUGACCAAAUGGAGGAAAGCCAACCACCCUAAAAGUCAGAGCUGGUAAUUAAUGUUUUUACAUCAGGAUUGAGGUUCUAGCAAAAACUGGCUUCCUUUUAGAAGAUCAAAGUCUGAGUUGUAGACCAGUCCUGGUGAAACAGCUGCUCUCCUACUUGUAAUAUUAAAGGCUUUCUGAGCUUUGGUGUUUUCCUCUGCUUUCUCUUCUCUCCUUCAAAUCAGGUGAAGACAUAUAGAGAAGGAAUCUUUGGGUGCCUGGCAGAUCUAUCUGCCUCAAGUGUGGUACAACAAUAAAGUUUGAAGUUACAAAAUCUAGGUAAGGAAAUAUCACAGGCUGUGUAUCUAGAAGCUUGAGUAUCAUUCUUGACUCUGCUAUUAGCUACUGUGACCACUGACUUGAGUUCUUUGGGUCCUGGUUUCUUAAUACCCAAUCUGAGAGGAGCUACUUGAGUAUCUUCAAGAUCUGUUCGUGCUCAACAGUAAAUUUCCUAAGGAAGGAUUUUGAGCUACUUGAGAAUUUUAACACACCUGCUUCUUGCUUCCUAUGAUCAGAAAUCACUAAAGGUUGGGUUGCAUUUGGUUGAGAACCUGCUAAUAUGACUUAGGCACCUUCUUCCCAUGUGGGGGUCCAAACUGAGGCUUAGGACUUUUACUACUGCAAAGUAGAAGCUGAGAAAUGGCGCAGUGUUCCGAAAGCCAUGAGUCUAGUAUGAGGUUGAUGAAUUGAGGUUGAUGAUGGGCUGACAAUUUCUUUGACAUCUUGGUUAUAGAGUUGACCUUAGUUAAGUCUGGCCUCAGUUUUCCUAAACGAUCUAGUUGUGGAAGGAGACUCGAGAAAAGAAUUUUCUCUCUGCUAUUUCCAGAAUUGGUUACAUGGAAGGUACUCAUUCACUAAUGGUUGAAUGGAAUUCAGAGGAAUUCAAGAUAAAUCCUGACAGACAAAUUUGGAUGGUUGCUACUCUUUAUUCCUAAGGGAUAAUCCAUUUAGAUAAGGCCAGUUUCAGUUAUUUAAAAACAUUUAACAACUUACAGAAUUCAAAAUAUGCACAGAGCUUUCCUCAGAUUUUUUUUUUUUUUGUCUUUUUGUUGUUGUUGUUGUUGUUGCUAUUUCUUGGGCCGCUCCCGCGGCAUGUGGAGGUUCCCAGGCUAGGGGUCUAGUCAGAGCUGUAGCCACUGGCCUACGCCAGAGCCACAGCAACGCGGGAUCCGAGCGGUGUCUGCAACCUACACCACAGCUCACGGCAACCCCGGAUCCUUAACCCACUGAGCAAGCGCAGGGACCGAACCCGCAACCUCAUGGUUCCUAGUCGGAUUCGUUGACCACUGCGCCACGAUGGGAACUCCCUCCUCAGAUUUUUAAAAUUGUGAGUUGAGCAAGCGAAAUACACAGAUAAUUGAAGAAGAAAAAACUGUGUUGGGUUUACCAGUCUAACAAGAGAAGAUUGACCACAAAAGUAAACACUGACUUGUAUCUUUUUCUUAAUUUUUUUUUUUUUUUUUAAUUUUUACCGCUGUGCCUGCAGCAUUUGGAAGUUCCUGGGCUAGAGGUCCAAUGGGAGCUGCAGCUGCAGGCCUACACAGCCAUGGCAACACCGGAUCUGAGCCACAUCUGUGACCUAUGCUGCAGCAAUGCCAGAUCCUAACCCACGGAGUGAGGCCAGAGAUCGGACCCUCAUCCUCACGGAGACUUUGUCGGGUUCUCAAUCCGCCAAGCCACAGUGGGAACGCCUUGACUUGUAAUUUUUGAUAAAUAAAAUUACUCUUGUCCUACAUCAUGUUUAGGCAACAUUUGUAGGCAAUUUAUGCGGAUGAGCGCAAUGUGUGUUACCUCCACGUAGCCCAUCCAAAUUUUUAAUAUACGGUUUUUCAUUGAGGCAGUUUUCCUGUAUCUCUAAGCAGUGCC
rnacentral:lncRNA from 1 species